GUGGGGAAUAUUGGACAAUGGGCGAAAGCCUGAUCCAGCCAUGCCGCGUGUGUGAAGAAGGCCUUUUGGUUGUAAAGCACUUUAAGCGAGGAGGAGGCUACCGAGAUUAAUACUCUUGGAUAGUGGACGUUACUCGCAGAAUAAGCACCGGCUAACUCUGUGCCAGCAGCCGCGGUAAUACAGAGGGUGCAAGCGUUAAUCGGAUUUACUGGGCGUAAAGCGCGCGUAGGUGGCCAAUUAAGUCAAAUGUGAAAUCCCCGAGCUUAACUUGGGAAUUGCAUUCGAUACUGGUUGGCUAGAGUAUGGGAGAGGAUGGUAGAAUUCCAGGUGUAGCGGUGAAAUGCGUAGAGAUCUGGAGGAAUACCGAUGGCGAAGGCAGCCAUCUGGCCUAAUACUGACACUGAGGUGCGAAAGCAUGGGGAGCAAACAGGAUUAGAUACCCUAGUAGUCC
rnacentral:rRNA from 1 species